GCUCAUCACAUCCUGGGGCUGAAGUCGGUCCCAAGGGUAUGGCUGUUCGCCAUUUAAAGUGGUACGCGAGCUGGGUUUAGAACGUCGUGAGACAGUUCGGUCCCUAUCUGCCGUGGGCGUUGGAAGAUUGAAGGGGGCUGCUCCUAGUACGAGAGGACCGGAGUGGACGAACCUCUGGUGUUCGGGUUGUGUCGCCAGACGCAUUGCCCGGUAGCUAAGUUCGGAAUCGAUAACCGCUGAAAGCAUCUAAGCGGGAAGCGAGCCCUGAGAUGAGUCUUCCCUGACCCCUUGAGGGUCCUAAAGGGUUGUUCGAGACUAGAACGUUGAUAGGCAGGGUGUGUAAGCGCUGUGAGGCGUUGAGCUAACCUGUACUAAUUGCCCGUGAGGCUUAACCAUACAACACCCAAAGGGUUUUG
rnacentral:rRNA from 1 species